rnacentral:rRNA from 1 species
UACGAAGGGUGCAAGCGUUAAUCGGAAUUACUGGGCGUAAAGGGUGCGUAGGCGGUUGUUUAAGUCUGUCGUGAAAUCCCCGGGCUCAACCUGGGAAUGGCGAUGGAUACUGGGCAGCUAGAGUGUGUCAGAGGAUGGUGGAAUUCCCGGUGUAGCGGUGAAAUGCGUAGAGAUCGGGAGGAACAUCAGUGGCGAAGGCGGCCAUCUGGGACAACACUGACGCUGAAGCACGAAAGCGUGGGUAGCGAACAGG